rnacentral:rRNA from 1 species
CUAAGUGUCCGGGGUUUCCUCGGUACUGAAGUUAACACAUUAAGUACUCCGCCUGAGUAGUACGUACGCAAGUAUGAAACUUAAAGGAAUUGACGGGAUCCCGCACAAGCGGUGGAUCAUGUUGUUUAAUUCGAAGAUACACGAAAAACCUUACCAGGUCUUGACAUUAUCCUGCGAAGCUAUAGAAAUAUAGGGGAGGUUAUCAGGAUAACAGGUGGUGCAUGGUUGUCGUCAGCUCGUGUCGUGAGAUGUUAGGUUAAGUCCUAAAACGAGCGCAACCCUUGUCGUUAGUUACCAGCACGUUAUGGUGGGGACUUUAGCGAGACUGCCAAUGAAAAAAUUGGAGGAAGGUGAGGAUUACGUCAAAUCAUCAUGCCCCUUAUGAUCUGGGCUACAAACGUGAUACAAUGGCUAUUACAAAGAGCAGCUGAAACGUGAGUUGUUAGCUAAUCUCAAAAAAAUAGUCUCAGUUCGGAUUGAAGUCUGCAACUCGACUUCAUGAAGUUGGAAUCGCUAGUAAUCGCGAAUCAGCAUGUCGCGGUGAAUACGUUCUCGGGGUUUGUACACACCGCCCGUCAAACCAUGAAAGUUGACAAUACCCAAAACCAGUCGCUUAACUACUUCGGUAGAGGGAGCUGUCUAAGGUAGGGUCGAUGAUUGGGGUUAAGUCGUAACAAGGUAUCCCUACCGGAAGGUGGGGAUGGAUCACCUCCUUUCUAAGGAAAUGUCGUAUCAUGAUCAUCUUCAGUUUUGAAAGACUUAGAGUAGAUAAGUUUUUCUUUUGGCGUAGAGGAAGGGCCUAUAGCUCAGUUGGUAGAGCACACGCUUGAUAAGCGUGCGGUCAAUGGUUCAAGUCCAUUUAGGCCCACCAUACCACAUUCU